GGGGGCACCGCCACGAGUGGAGCCUGCGGCUUAUUUUGAGGGGCCCGGGGAAACUUACCCGGCCUGGACACUGGAAGGAUUGACAGAUUGACAGCUCUUGCUUGAUUCAUUGGGUGGAGUUGCAUGACAUUACAAUGUUGGUGGAGCAAUUUUGCUGGUUGAUUUCCAUGACUAACGACACCCUGGGUUAUGAAAUGUGCUCCCGGCUUUUAAACCCCGGGCGGACUUUAUCCUUUGACAGGUGGCGGUUCAGCCGGACGAAAAGGAGACUGCCAGGUCUGUGAUGCCCUUUGGUGGGGAUGACCGCACGUCAUCAUGGCCCUUACGAUCAGGGCUACUUUAUGUUCCUGCUGGCGCGGAGUGGGGAACCCACCGCACCUUCUUCAGGAGAGCUCAUAAAGAGUGUCAUAAUCCUGAUUGAAGUCUGAAAUCCCACUCCAUGAAAUUCGAAUCCCUGCGUUUCUUGCAUCCCAACGCCUUGGUGACUACGUUCCUCGCUCCUGCCCAUUGAACCCGUUA
rnacentral:rRNA from 1 species